UUUCUAAGGAUGAUCAAGAAUUGGAACUCUUUAUCAAUAAAGAACAUUCCUUUUUGAUCUCACUAGACAUACGGGUUUAAAGCAAUUUAAACCUUAUGCAUGUGACACUCACUCUUCAUGAACCUCUCUCUCAAAGGAGAACCUCUUUUAUCAAAAGAGGCCCCUAGCUCCAUGAGAAAAGUUCCAUAAGGGUGAGUUGCUCAUGUGUUCAGUUAUACAAGCAGACUAGCCGUCUUCGUUUCUCUUUCUUCAGAUGAUGAUCCCAAGCCUUCUGGCGAUCUCUUAGCGCUAAAGCCCCCAUUUUUUAAAAGGACGCUUUAAGCAGAAGAGCUGUAAAAGCUCCUCUCUCUCUCUAAGAGUAUGCCGGGGAAGGUUUUCCGGUUUAUCCCGGAGGGCUUGUAGCUCAGUUGGUUAGAGCGCGCGCUUGAUAAGCGUGAGGUCGGAGGUUCAAGUCCUCCCAGGCCCACCAAUCACUCUAUCAAUUUAUAAGCGCCGGUAAAACUUGCCUAUAGCUACUUACCUAUCAAGUCUGCAUACCGAUAAAGUAUAAUCUACAGGCCAAUGAAGCCUAUAAAUUUGUAAGAAACUGACGUAUCCUACCGGAUAAUCUCCCUAGAUAAUAUUCUCGAAUGAUGUCUUUGGGACAAGUUGUAAAAGCACCAAUCAUUUGCAAAAAUACUUGUAAAGUGAAUUUAUCACUUGGAACUUUAAGUGAAUUUAUCACUUCAAGUGGCGUGAGCCCUUGCAGGUCCGUUGAUAAAAUACAGUUCAUUUAUCAGGAUAUUUACUUUAUCAGGAUAUUUACAAAGAACAUUUAUCAUUUACUAAAGGAUCUUUAUGAAGUCUUUCAUGUGGUAACUUUGCUGUUUGUUUAAAUAAUCCAGAGCCAAAGCAAAGUUAAGAGCAGAGGAAUCCCUUUUAAUAAAGUCUUCAGUGCUCGUUUUUACUGGUCUUGUUUGAACUGGUCUUAAAUGUCAGUGAUCUUAGUUUUAAGAGUUUGGAAUGCAUUAUGCUAUUUUAGGGGCCGUAGCUCAGCUGGGAGAGCACCUGCUUUGCAAGCAGGGGGUCGUCGGUUCGAUCCCGUCCGGCU
rnacentral:misc_RNA from 1 species